GAGAGAGAGAGAAGAGAGAGAGAAGAGGGGAAAAAAAAAGAAGACACUUCUUCCCAAGUUUAUUUGUUCUAUGAAAUACCAAGGAAAAACCAAUUAAAGGAAACCAGCUGAUGCACGACAAACAGUAUGCUAAAAGGUGCAUAGUAAAACGUAGUAAACAACAAACAGCAUUCUUAACUGACAGACCAAAUUUUUAUCCAGUUUACUCACUGUUCCUUCCAGCAUUUUCAGUAAUGCCUGUUGAACACCCUCUCCAGAUACAUCUCUGCCAAUAUUGGAACUCUCUG
rnacentral:misc_RNA from 1 species